rnacentral:rRNA from 1 species
AGAUUUCUUAAGGCCCCUCGAAGACUACGAGGUUGAUAGGCCCAAGGUGUAAGCACAGCGAUGUGUUGAGCUGAUGGGUACUAACUGGCCGUGUGGCUUAACUGC